UACGGAGGGUGCAAGCGUUAAUCGGAAUUACUGGGCGUAAAGCGAACGCAGGCGGUUUGUUAAGUCAGAUGUGAAAUCCCCGGGCUCAACCUGGGAACUGCAUUUGAAACUGGCUAGCUUGAGUCUCGUAGAGGGGGGUAGAAUUCCAGGUGUAGCGGUGAAAUGCGUAGAGAUCUGGAAGAAUACCAGUGGCGAAGGCGGCCCCCUGGACGAAGACUGACGCUCAGGUGCGAAAGUGUGGGUAGCAAACAGG
rnacentral:rRNA from 1 species